rnacentral:lncRNA from 1 species
AGUUUGUGCCCACACUCAUUUGCAGCAACCCUAACAGAGAUUGCGAAGAUUUUCAAAGUGGGGCACCUCGAUUUCUCGAAUCUGUGGUGUGGCGAAUAUCCGUGUUCCUCCUGCUUAACUAGCCUGUUUGAAGGCACAGUUCAUUCUCGAGCAAUUCGUCACCUCCUGGGGGUCUUCUCUUCCCGUCUACAGGAGAGUGUGACUUCAGAAAGAACUUCGGAUUGGCCAAGGCCAUUAAAGCUGGUGAGCGACUUGGAAGUCAUUUAGAAAGGAACAGACCUUCAACCUCAAGCCUUUGCGGGCACUGGGAAAGUGUCUUCCCAAUCAAUCUGGCUUGCAGGCGGCAGGACCAACUCUGACCUGGCUUAUCUUGUACCCAUCCUAAAUACACCAAACUCAAGAGGUAGCCAGGGCCGCCUCAACACCGAGGUCAGUGCUCUGGGUGCCUUAGUUUCUCUCUUUAUUCAAACAGUGGUGGAAAUGAAAGAGGGAUGUGAGCUAGAUUAAAAGGAUCAAGGGAGAGUGUUGCCUGAUACCAAGCUGCGCUCAAUAAUUAUUUACAUCUUU